GGCCACUGUAGGAAGAAAGGGACCCGGCUGGCGUGUGCAUUAGUGCACCAGGGCCCAGCAGAAAAAUGCUGUGCUGGCGAGCAGGGCCAGCUGAGGGCACAGGAAGGGGAGAGGUGGCGGGGCCACGCGUGCCCCAAGAGGUCUCAGCUGAGAUGCAACAGGAGGGAAAGGCCCAGGCACAGUGGACAAAGGGUGAAGUAUGGGCCUGGCCCCGUGGCACAUGCCGAAGAUCCCAGAGACUCAGGAGACCCAGGAGGGAAGAUUGCAAGUUUGAAGGCACCCUCAGCAACUUAGCAAGACCCUCUUUCAAAAUAAAAUAAAAAAGACUAGAGAUGUAGCUCAGUGGCUGAGACCUACCCCACCCCAGCUUCAAACCCCAAUACCGAACAUAAAGAAAAAAAAGACAAGACAUGGUGUUGGCGGGACAGAUGCUUCAUUUGGAUCACAGCUGCCACAGAGCUGCCAGAUAAAACCAGGACACCUCUUUUCAGUGAAAUUCCAGAUAAACAAUGAUUAUGUGGCGCAGGAAACCAGCUGGAGCCCGAGCACCAAGGAGUUCAUGGCAGACCACUGUGGCCACAGGUCAGCCUCUGGGACCUGGAGCAGGAGGAGGGGUCUGGAGGGCACAGUGGAGCCCUACAGCAGGCAAGUUGUCCUGCCUCUCUGAGCCCUGGCUGGGAGGGUCUGAAGGGGCCUGGGCCUCUCAGGUGGCGCCUUCUUCCUUACUGCCCUGACCCCACAUAUCCAUUUUGGCUAAAAAAAAUAAAAAUAAAAAGAGCAGAUGCCCUUCCCCUUGCCCUUGAGCACACUCUCCAACAGCGGAAACCAGGAAACUCAGAGCCAUAGGCAGCCCCUGCCGGCCCCGUCAGCCUGCACCCUACUUUUCAACACAGGUAUUUGGCUUUUUCUCCAAAUAAGUACUUUAAAGAAGCUUCCCAAGCAGACUGCAGCCCCCAGGCCCUUGCUGUAGGGAGUCACCCAGGGAACCGAAAGAGCAUUCCUGAAUCAGUGACUUUUCACCAGCCUGCUCCGACUCUCCGGCCAUGACCUCAAACUAAGCUUUUGAUGUCUGGAUCCCACCCAGAGCUUGAGUUUAUUGGCCUGGGGUGCAUUUGGGGCACUGGGAUUUUUAAAACUCUCCUCUGGUGAUUCUGCUAUGCAGCCAGGAUCAGGCCUCUGCUCUAGGGAACGGGUACAGAAUGGGCACCAAGCACCCCCAGCUAGUCCUGAGGGUCCUGGAUUGAGCCCGAGAAUCUCUAUCCAGAAGGAUCGGGUCUGACUGGUGUGACUUGGGCGAUGGGGGCUGUAGAAGGGGUGGGGUGAGAACAAGGACCCCAGAGUCGGAGGGGCAAAGGUGAGCCCCAGCUCAGCCAUGCAGAAGCCAGACGACCCUGUGUAAGUCACCUGUCCAUCCAAGACUGAGUGUCCUCAUCACGAAGGGAGAUAGACGACACUUCCACUUGGAGAGAAGAGCCACGCACUGCAGAUAACAGCACCGAAACCAAAAUGAAGCAAGGACCAUGUGAACACAUUGACAAACAUGGCUGCUUGCUAUAGUGCUCUGCUAGGUCCUGGGUGCAAGACUGCCAGCAUCAUCUAGCUCCGCCUUCAUCCUCAAAAAGAACUUACAAAUGUGCAAACGGGAUCUGCAACCACUCCAAAGUAGGACUGAACAGAAUAAGGCAAGUGGAAAAGUAUUCUAAAUUCCAAUGCACCUGCCAAGAGAGCAUGCCAAGAUUGUAUUUAUAGAUUUCCUAUCUAUGUUGGAAUGAUGAAUAGAAAGUGCUCUCAUAAAAAAUUAAACCUUUUCUUGAUGUGCUGACCUGGUGAUAUAGGAAUGAUUAUAAAUUUGGUGUAAACAUUCUUAAAUGCAUACAAGUAUUCUGCAAGAGUUGCAAAUAAAACACACCGU
rnacentral:lncRNA from 1 species